ACCGUUUGCUCGGGACACAAAGGCUUUAACAAAGGGGGGAAAAAAGGUACAUAUCAGAAGCCAAAAAUGACAUUUGGGUUCUCCUGAGUGGGAAAGAAAGCGCAUUCAACCAGCUUGUCUAGAAGCUCGUGGUUCUAGAAGCAGCAAAUGGGAUGCUGGAGCCCCCAAGCACCUCUGCUUUCAAGUAGGCACCACAAUGACCUGAGCAAGUUCAGGUUUGAACUUCAGAGCAAGUUCAAAUCCAGCAGAAAAGCUCAACCCACAAACACUGUGUUCCACUGUCAUGAUUCAAAUACCAUGAUGCUGACACUUUGAUCCUGACAAGCACUACCAAACAUGCUAUUUUUGUUAUUUUUGGAGCAGCUAGCAUGGCACAGGGGUCAAAAGGAUCUGAUUUGCUAGGAACAGUAGCAGUAAAAAAUAUGAUGCCCAAAAUUAUAGACAGCAAUUUUAUUUCUUCAUUCACGUAUCUCUGUGGAGUUUUUCCUUUGUGACCUCAACCAAGUCACAUCAUCUUAUACCCACUGUUGCUUCUUCACAUGUACACACUU